rnacentral:lncRNA from 1 species
UUCUUUCUUACCUCUUGUUGGCCGAUUCUCCCUCUUGGACAAGGAAGAGAAACUUCUUCAAUUUACAAGCUUCAAACUAUCUCAAUCUUCCAUUCCAACCAAUUAAACUUAGAUUUGCUCCAUAAAAUUCUUCCUUCUAGUGCUAGUAAGUUGUUUGGUGAACUUUGUUUGAAGAACUAAGGUGCACAACAUCUUCCUCUCUCUUGAUUUCUUGGUAAGUGUUGCUUGAACACCCUACUACCUCUAAUAAUGGUUAUAUGAUGCUUAGAAGUGGCUUGAGUGUUUGAAAAUGUGAUUUAUCUCUUGAUUUGGCUUGUUUUGGUGAAGUUUUUAUUUUAUUGGCAAUUUUUCUGGUUUAAUAUGAUCUUGAUGUUGGGGGCUUGUAUGAUGAAUUGUAGUGGUUGGAAAUGACUCUAGUGGAUGUGAAAUGUGGAUAAAUGCAACUAAUUUUGGAUUUGGUGUGAAAAUUGAAAAGCUAGGGUUCUUAAAUCCCCAAUUCUGUCCCGUUUUGGAUCAUAGGGUUAGAGGCCGAAUUUGACUUUUCUCAAAACAUGAAAGUUGUAGGUAUUGAUGUGUUUGAGGUGCCUGUAAAAUUUCAGGUCAUUUGGAUGAGUGCAGAGUGAGUUAUGCCAUUUUUACUGUAGCUGUUCUGUUUUGAUCAGAAUGCGAAAACUGCGAUAGUAAUUGGCCCUUUUGACUGGAAUUGGUUUGGAUUUUGAAGUUGGUGUCUUCUGAUGAAAUGUAGCUGGAUGUUUUAGCUAACUUAUGCCUUUGGAAUUUUGGCAUUUGGACUUGUAUGGACUGAGAUAUACCGAUUACAGUUUUCUGUGUUUUGCAAACCUGUUUUGGUAAUUCUGGUAUAGUAUUUGGCAUUUUCGAACUAGUUAAGCUAGGAACUGGAUUGAGUGGUCUUCUACAUUGUUGUAGCUCUGUUUCAUAGCUUCGAAACGGUGGUCUUGCACCCCCAUCCGAUAACCGUAGUGAAAGUGGUGUCAUUACCGCAUUAUGAAGUCAAAUACGUUUUUUUUUGUUAAGGCCUAAGUUAAAGCCAUUUCUUAAUUUCUGGUUACCUAUGAUGCUUAUAUAUGCAUAUGAAACCUUAUUGGGGUUGUGGUUGGCAUUGGUUUAUGACUCGUUAUCGAGUCUCUUUUAGGGCUUGCUUUCAUUUCGGUUGUUUCCUAGUUAACUUUUGUACUUGUACCACUUUGAGCCUAGUGAACGGCUUUUGGGAAAUGAGAUGAAUUUUGUGUGAGAUGUUGGACUGAUUUGAGGAUAUAAUGAAGCCUUAAUGGCUGGAAAAGUAAGAAAUUUAGGGGAAGUGCUGCCCGAUUUCUAGGCCGUUUGAUUCCUUUAAGUUGGAUUUGCCUUUUGGUAGAAUGAAAGGCUUUUGGGUUGUUUGCGCCUAAGUCUUCAUGCUACCUUUUCGUUUCCAAGAAAAUCAUGUUUUGCACCCUUGCAUUAGUAAUUAUUUGGCGAGGCAUACGACUAGUAGUCGAGCCUCACAUGUGCAUUCUGUUUACUCGAUUCUGGAAGUAAAACCUUCAAUUGGUUUAUUUUGAUUAUUUUAGGGUUUCUUGGCGAUUAAGGCCAAUCUGAAGUGAAAACUUUUGAAGUUGAGCCGGUGAGUGUUCCACUACCUGCUACCCAUUAUGUGAAAUAUCUGAAUAUCUGAAUACUUGAUUUAUGACUAUUGAAGCCAAAUACUGUUUUGAUAAAAUGGAGGCGAUGGUGUACUUUAUCACACUCGUUCUUCUAUCUGUUCAUAUGCCAAUUUGAGUGCCUAUCUGAAUCUGUCGUCUGAAUCUGCUAUCUGAAUAUGCUAUUCUGUAUCUGUAUCUGAAUCUGUUAUCUGUGUCUGCAUCUGUUCGGAUUUCUAUGACCUAUGAGCUCAAUCCUGUGGCCAAGUUAUUCGAGUCGGGCCGGCAAGGGCCUGGACGAUUAGAUAACGAACUACGGUAGUCUGUUUGGGGAUUUUGGGUAUUGAGACCCUUGAUUCCAGGUAUACUCGAGUAUUACCAUUUCUGUUCGGUUACGGUGAGCGGCCCGGUAAAGGGUGUUUGGUGGACGGAAUUCGGUGUAAAGAGGGUCUACGGACGUUUUGGUUCUAUAUACGUUGACGGAGAGUCAACCGGUUUGGAUCAAGUACUGCGCUGGAAAUUUGGCUCCUGAGAGCCACCCGUAUCCUUUUGAUUUGAAUCAUUGUUUCUGUGCUUUACAUCUGACAUGUGUAUCUGAUUUUGUAAAAUGUGAAAUGCCAUGAUUUUUCUGCUAUAUGAUUGGUACCUCAUUGAGCGCAAGCUCACCCUUUCCGUUCCUUUUGUUUUCCUUACAGGAAAAUAAACUCUUUUGGUCUGGAUUUGACAAAUGGCUGCCAAAUUGAGCUAGAUGAACAUAUCUUUUGUAUAGCUCAUGUAUUAAAACCCUAAGUGUACUUUUGGGGCGUUUUCUCUUUUGAUUUGGCAAACCGUGUAUAUGUA